UACGUAGGUGGCAAGCGUUGUCCGGAUUUACUGGGCGUAAAGAGCGCGCAGGCGGUCGUUCAAGUCGCGUGUGAAAGCCCCCGGCGCAACUGGGGAGGGUCACGCGAUACUGAUCGACUCGAAGGCAGGAGAGGGAAGUGGAAUUCCCGGUGUAGUGGUGAAAUGCGUAGAGAUGUGGAGGAACACCGAUGUCGAAGGCAGCCUCCUGGGCCAGCACUGACGCUCAUGCACGAAAGCGUGGGGAGCAAACAGG
rnacentral:rRNA from 1 species